AUCUACUCAGGCCUGCACAUAUAUAUGCAGUGUUUCACCACAAGAGAGAUAUUUCCAAUAACCUGUGACACGCUUUUGGUCAAUAACCAAAUACUUUCAUCCAUUUUCACGCAACAAAAAAGGAUGAAGUGUACUGGAAUAUUUCUUGUGUUGUCCAUGGUUGUCCUGAUGGCUGAACCUGGGGAAGGUUUUAUUGGAGCUAUUUUUCGUGCAAUACCUCAUAUCGUCCAUGGGGUCCGCAAGCUCGUCCGUAGGAGGGGA